UACCUGCAGCUCGAGUGGUGAUCGUUAUUAUUGGGCCUAAAACGUCCGUGGCCGGUCUGGUAAAUGCCUGGGUAAAUCGUAUGGCUUAACUAUACGAAUCCCGGGUAGACUGUUAGACUUGAGACCGGGAGAAGCUAGAGGUACUCUUGGGGUAGAGGUGAAAUUCUGUAAUCCUAGGGGGACCACCAGUGGCGAAGGCGUCUAGCUAGAACGGGUCUGACGGUGAGGGACGAAGCCCUGGGGCGCAAACUGGAUUAGAUACCCCGGUAGUCCAGGGUGUAAACGCUGCUUGCUUGAUGUUAGUCUGGCUCCGAGCCAGAUUAGUGUCGGAGAGAAGUUGUUAAGCAAGCUGCCUGGGAAGUACGGCCGCAAGACUGAAACUUAAAGGAAUUGGCGGGGGAGCACAGCAACGGGUGGAGCGUGCGGUUU
rnacentral:rRNA from 1 species